rnacentral:rRNA from 1 species
AGAAUGAACGCUGGCGGCGUGCUUAACACAUGCAAGUCGCACGAGAACUCUUCUGCUUGCAGAAGAUAGUAAAGUGCCGCACGGGUGAGUAACGCGUGGGUAAUCUACCUCUGAAUUGGGGAUAACAUUGUGAAAGCGAUGCUAAUACCGAAUAAUAUCCCGAGAACCUAGGUUUUUGGGAUCAAAGGUGGCCUCUACAUGUAAGCUACUGUUUAGAGAUGAGCCCGCGUACCAUUAGCUUGUUGGUAGGGUAAUGGCCCACCAAGGCAACGAUGGUUAGCUGGUCUGAGAGGAUGAUCAGCCACACUGGAACUGACACACGGUCCAGACUCCUACGGGAGGCAGCAGUGAGGAAUUUUGCGCAAUGGGGGAAACCCUGACGCAGCAACGCCGCGUGAGUGAUGAAGGCUUUCGAGUCGUAAAGCUCUGUCAAGUGAGAAGAACCUGUCCCGCGAUAAUACCGCGGGAUACUGACGGUAUCACUGAAGGAAGCACCGGCUAACUCCGUGCCAGCAGCCGCGGUAAUACGGGGGGUGCAAGCGUUAUUCGGAAUUAUUGGGCGUAAAGGGCGCGUAGGCGGUCUUUUAAGUCAGAUGUGAAAGCCCGGGGCUCAACCCCGGAAGAGCAUUUGAAACUAAUGGACUUGAGUAUGGGAGAGGGAAGUGGAAUUCCUGGUGUAGAGGUGAAAUUCGUAGAUAUCAGGAGGAACACCGGUGGCGAAGGCGACUUCCUGGACCAAUACUGACGCUGAGGCGCGAAGGCGUGGGGAGCAAACAGGAUUAGAUACCCUGGUAGUCCACGCAGUAAACGGUGAACACUAGGUGUAGCGGGUAUUGACCCCUGCUGUGCCGCAGUUAACGCAUUAAGUGUUCCGCCUGGGGAGUACGACCGCAAGGUUAAAACUCAAGGAAUUGA